rnacentral:rRNA from 1 species
GUAGGUGGCAAGCGUUGUCCGGAAUUAUUGGGCGUAAAGCGCGCGCAGGCGGUCCUUUAAGUCUGAUGUGAAGGCCCACGGCUCAACCGUGGAGGGUCAUUGGAAACUGGGGGACUUGAGUACAGAAGAGGAAAGCGGAAUUCCAAGUGUAGCGGUGAAAUGCGUAGAGAUUUGGAGGAACACCAGUGGCGAAGGCGGCUUUCUGGUCUGUAACUGACGCUGAGGCGCGAAAGCGUGGGGAGCAAACAGGGAUUAGAUACCCUGGUAGUCCACGCCGUAAACGAUGAGUGCUAAGUGUUAGGGGGUUUCUGCCCCCUUAGUGCUGCAGCUAACGCAUUAAGCACUCCGCCUGGGGAGUACGGCCGCAAGGCUG